AAUGAAUAAAAUUUUAAUGGCCGCAGUAAUUUGACUGUGCAAAGGUAGCAUAAUCAUUAGUCUUUUAAUUGAAGGCUUGUAUGAAUGGUUGGACGAAGUAUAAUCUGUUUCAUUUAAAUUUUUAUAGAAUUUUAUAUUUUAGUAAAAAAGCUAAAAUUUUUUUAAAAGACGAGAAGACCCUAUAAAUCUUUAUAAUUUAUAUUAUUUUUAUUUUUUGGAUUUUUUAUAUUUUUAUAAUUUAAAUUAUUUUGUUGGGGUGAUAUUAAAAUUUAAAAAACUUUUAAUUUUUUUUUUCAUUAAUUUAUGUUUUAUUGAUCCAUUAAUAAUGAUUAUAAGAAUAAGAUACUUUAGGGAUAACAGCGUAAUUUUUUUGGAGAGUUCUUAUUGAUAAAAAAGUUUGCGACCUCGAUGUUGGAUUAAGAAAUAAUUUUAGGUGUAGAUGCUUAAA
rnacentral:rRNA from 1 species